GAUUCCUUACUCUGCCAGAGAUUUAAGCAGGCAUGCGAGGAAUCUGCACCAUGGUUGGCAAAAGGAGACCCAUUGCCUCCUGUAACCAGACACUCGGGCUUUCCAGGAGCCCAGGGAGAGAGCCGAGAAGAAAGGGGGCAGUGUGGUCUAGGAAAAUUCAACUUGUCGCUGAUUUGUGCCUGAUGCUCGCUGUCCGUCAGCAGCCUCCCUUACAAUCUUUUUUUCCUCUCUCUCCCUUUUUUUCUUGCCUUCUCCUUCUUCACUGAAGCCUAGGGGAGCCAGUAAAGAUUAAAUGUGCUUUCUCAAAGGCAGCCACUUCAUGCUGCUAUGUCGAAAGGGCCAUUAUUAUUAUGUUUUUAACAGUAAAAGAAAAAGGGAGAGAGGUUGAGAGAGAGAGAGAGAGAGAGAGAGAGAGAAGCUAGGUAGGAUAAUGACAGACUAGCUUUUCUGAGAGGAAAAGGAAAAGGGAAGGGAGAGAAAAAGGAGAGACCCUGAACUGAACAGAGGAUUGUGCCUGCGAAGAACCUACAGAGCCAUCCAUCCACCUUGCUCAGGCUGGAAUAAAAGAAGAAAAAGAAGGAGGAAAGGAAAGGAAACAGAAGGAAAGAAAAAAAGGGGAAGAAAAAAAAAUUUUAAAGAGUCAUCUUCCCACCCACUUCCCCUCCCUUUCGUUUCAUUUUUGGAGGCGGCACUAGGAGCUAUCUCCGCAGAGGAAAGCCCAGCUUCCAGGCAGACGCGGGGAAGCGACGAUCUAUCAGGUACACAGCCCUACACAGCCCGUAGCUGUCUGCGAAGAUGGAGGGGAACUGUGCUUCGGAUGCCUCCGAAAUAUUGGCAAACGGCUUCAAAGGAUCCGCGGCGGGAGUGGGGCGGAGGAGAUGCGCCUCCCCGGCUCGCGCCCACCCCUUCCCACUCGCCUCGACCAAGUGACAGCCUGGUGCUGGCUCGGGGUGAUUUGGCCUUGGCUUCAGCCAAGCAGCUGGUGCACAGGAGGCCCUUCGCAGGACUGGCGAAAAGUGCACGCUAAAGAAAGAAGGAGGAAAUUUUGAAAAGCAGCCCUGGGGAGGGUUCUCAUUCUUCGAAAAACACUGUUUUUGAAUUUUUAACUGAAUAUUCUCAAAAUUUGAUCAGUCCCAGUCCCUCCCUCCACUCCCACCGAAUCGCCUUUUUUUUUUUGCCCCCUUCUCUCGUCAAAGCAUAAACUACAGAGUUACAGUCUCUAGAUUUGGUGUAUCGCUUCCUGCCCCCGCCUCCCCCUCCCUGCCCAGUUCUCAGUCCUCUAUUGAAACACCUCGCCCAGGCAAGCGCCCUGCAGCUCACAUUUCCCCCCCUGGCCCGGACGGUGCUACUGGAGGCUGCAGCCCGACUCCACUUCCAAUGGUAAGUUGCCUGUUGGAUAAACCUGAAGUUAUUCUUACGGAGCGCAUUCUCCCAGAGCGAGGAUCCUGGUGCUCUCACACACUCUCAAGCAAUGCUGUUGCUUGACUGAUUCCUGAACAAGAUGAACAAUGAGCAAGCUCCAUUUCUCUGGUGAUGCAGCAUUUCACUCAUAGUUAGAAACAGCAUGGCUCUCAAAGUAUCAUAACAUUCCUCUAUUUGUAUUAAAGAGUCAAUGUGAUAACCUUCUGUGAUGUGUUCUGUUAUUUUUUUAGUCGUGUUGAUGUCCUUUCAGCUGGUCCUAUAGUCCCCCCUCCUCAGGAAUGUCUCCCCAGUGAAAGGACACACACCACAGAGACUGCUGUCCUGAUGGACGCUCAAGCCGACUGGGAAGUUGAAACAAAGAAAGCAAUCACCUGAAGACACCUCUCCUGCCAAGCGACACACCCACAUGCUGCAGCUUCAGCCAAUAGAAUCUCAGAACAAGAGGCAAGCUUUCCAAGAAACAGGAACACUUAAGAAUGACACCUAGAUUUCGAAGGAGCCAAGGACUUUCUCUUCGUCAUGUGUAUUCCUCUGUUUGUAUUUAAAUUCUGUGUGACGUUCAUUUUUAAAAAUCAUUUUUUCUAGUAUGAAUGAAUAUGCUUAUUAAUGCACCAAUUUUUAAAAUAGAAAGUUGUUCGUGCCAGAAGUAAAUUGAAUGUUAGCCACACACCGAGUUUGACCUUCAGAGUGACUUAAAGAAUAUAAAGUUCUUUUGAAAUAAUGAAGUAGUGGGAGGCAAUCCAGAGGAUAAAAUAAUGGUGAGAACUCAGACUGUGGCAAAGAAAUACAAGAUCGCGCUGACUCCAACCAACGAACCAACCAUUCUUUUUAUCAGGCAAGCUAGGUUCUGGGAGAUGUGCUGAGUGCCUCUAAAGAGUUUAAAUCUAGUGAGACAGAGGCACAUAAACUUUUGAAAAGAUAAGUAACGAAUCAGGUCAACUGAUAAGAGCAAAACCAAAACAAAGCGAAAGAUACAAACAAGGAGCUCAGAGGUCACCUUAAGCUGGGCAAACUGGUCUGUUUAGGGAAGAAAGUUCCCGAAGGAGGAAAAUACAAGAUGAAUCUUAAAGGCUGUUAAAGAUUUAGAUAAGUGGAAAGGAAGGAGAAAAUAGAGGCCUUCAGAUGGAUGUAAUAGUGUGAGAAAAGUCAGAGAGGAAAGCAUCUACGUGGUGGUUUUAGGGAAUUAUGAAUAUACAUGCCUUGUGUACUGCAUCCCAGACUUUCAGUGCCAAUGUAUAGAUAUAUAUAUGGUGAAGACUUUGCACACACACACUUCCCCCCUCCCUCCCUAGGGGUCGCCUAGAAUUAUAAUCAUAUUUCUUCCAUUAAACAACUGAUAUGAAGAUUUGUGAUUUUUCUGUUAGCCUAGUAACAAUGGAUAUUUAUUGCGUUCUCACUACAUGUUAAGCAUUUUCUAUGUUAACUCUCUUAAGCCUCACAACAACCCUGCCAAAUAGAUGUUGUUUUUUAUUACCAUUUUACACAAAGAAAACUGAGUUUUAAUGAGGUUAAGUAACUUGCCAAACUGCCACAUACAGGGUUCACAAUCAGAACUGCGAUUGCAGAGCUCAUGAUCUAACGCACUAAGUCACAAUGUUGCUACCAACGUUGUAAUAUUAUCUCUUCUAUAUUCCUCGAUAUUUUUCUGUGGUAAAUAAAUAGCUAUUUCCUUUAAUUAGCUUCUCAAAUUUUUCAGUUUUCUGGUUAAACUCGCAUGAUGGAAUGUAUUUUCAUGAAAAAAAUUGAAAAAAAUUGGGGAAUAGAGUCUAUCAGCAUUUUAGACCUUUUUUUGGGAGGGGGCCAGACUCUGAUGAAACUGCUCACUUCGGUCAGCAUGAAAUCUCAACUUCUUGAGAAUAAAAAUAGGCGGUGGAGAGAGCUUAAAGGUCAUCUACUGCAAUGUCCUUUUCUACAGAUGUGAUAAAUCCAUAAAGUUAGAGUGACUUACGGAAGAUCACACAUUGAAGUGUAGCAGAGCUAGGUCCAGAAACCAUGCCGCCCUCAGAGGCUCUUGAACUUCUCCACCCUGUCUAAAUGAAGUGUGAGCUUGAAUUUGAUCAGUGAAAACAUUCUAUCUGGGUGAUCAGGGAGCAUUGUACCUAGUAGAUUGCUUCAAUUUUGCACCUCUUUGGCUUCUCACCUCAAUGUGAAAAUUAGCUAGCUACAAACUGACAUCUUUAGUUCCAGAAAUUGUCAAUGGUCCAUCCACAAAGGACACACAAUGGCAAGUUAUGUGUGCAAUGUCUUCAAUGAUAUUCUUAAAUUAGUUGGCAUUCUUAGUUCGCCUAAACAAACCAGAUCUUCUAAUGAGCAUUUUCUUAACCAGUUUUAUGGACAGAAUAUAUUUGUAAGAGCUUCUGCAUGAAUAUUUAAACAUGACUGUUUCAAUAGUCCUUAUGUUUUUUGAAAAUAUCAAUGGUUAUUUUCUAUUUUAAUUGUUACUAACUCAAGAAUACUUCAGCCAUAAAAAACUGGAACUGAGGAAACCUCACUCUUCUUUACCAGCCGCUUUGCCUUCAGUUGGCAUUUAGGAAUGAUUAAUAAAGUGGUCAGCUGGAGAACACAGAAGUUCAAAACGCAAUUUUGUCUUGAAGGAGUCAGUUAAUCUGUGUCUACUUAAGGGCAAGCAUCUAGAUGUUUGGAAGGACCUGAAUAUUUGACUGUUGUAAACUUCCGCUGAGAUAUCUGGCAUUGUCACACUUAGACCUCCUGGUGGCUCAGGUCGUCCUGUUUUCAAAAUGGUGGUCAUUGGCCAUGUCUCACACAGUUCUCAUUAAGUGAACUCAUAAAUAAACAGGUUUUGGUUUUUUUUUUUUUUAAAGCGUAGCCAAGCACUAAAUGUGACUUUGUUGACAUUUUAUGAGACUUUGUCAUAUGUCCCCUGAACCCCCAAUAAAAGCAGUGUUGCA